rnacentral:rRNA from 1 species
GGGUCCUACGGGAGGCAGCAGUGAGGAAUAUUGGUCAAUGGUCGGGAGACUGAACCAGCCAAGCCGCGUGAGGGAUGAAGGUACAGAGUAUCGUAAACCUCUUUUGUCAGGGAACAAAGGCGGGGACGCGUCCCCGGAUGAGUGUACCUGAAGAAAAAGCAUCGGCUAACUCCGUGCCAGCAGCCGCGGUAAUACGGAGGAUGCGAGCGGUAUCCGGAUUUAUUGGGUUUAAAGGGUGCGUAGGCGGGCUGUUAAGUCAGCGGUAAAAAGCCGGGGGUCAAACCCGGCGAGCCCUUGAAAAUGGG